CGACGCCAGGUAAUGGGUUGGGAUCCUCCCUGGGGCUGUGGGUAUGUCAACGCGUCCCUAACCUUACCGAUGCCAAGUGCUAGGAAAUGACUGAAAAUAAAGAACCUUCCCAACCCGGUUUAGUCUCCCACGGCGGUGGAUCUUCUUGGGAGGAGGACUUUACUUGUGUCAUCAGGGGUAGGAAUUAAACACUGCCUCUGACUCACUCUGCUUCAUGACCACGUUAUUUAGUACAAUGACAAGUCAAUAAAUAAUUCUUAGGAAGAGAUUUGUAGAAUAAUACAUGCUUAUGUAAGAAUAUUUUAACUACCUGAAGGUGGGAAAUUUUAUCAAAAUAUUAUUUUAAAUUGAGAUUAAUGUUUAUUCUAUUGUUGAUCAUAGUGUAUAGUUUAUAUUUUUUCCAUUUUCGAUGGAAAUUGUCCAUCAAAACUUUCCCACCUCGCAUGCAAACAUGGAAUUCAGACAAUAUUCGUCCGAAAACCAUGUGCCUAAAGUGGGACAAAUAAUCAAAAUUGUCCCCAAAGUGAUUUAGAAAGUGAACAUAGGACUUAUAUAUCGUGCAAAGACCAUAAUAAAUAAAUAUAUUAUCGUACUUCAUA